rnacentral:rRNA from 1 species
UACGGGGGGAGCAAGCGUUGUCCGGAAUCAUUGGGCGUAAAGGGCACGUAGGCGGUUUCUUAAGUCGAAUGUGAAAUCUCACGGCUCAACCGUGAAACUGCGUUCGAAACUAAGUGACUUGAGUUUGGGAGAGGUGUACGGAAUUCCUGGUGUAGCGGUGGAAUGCGUAGAUAUCAGGAAGAACACCAAUGGCGAAGGCAGUACACUGGCCUGAAACUGACGCUGAGGUGCGAAAGCGUGGGGAGCAAACAGGAUUAGAAACCCUAGUAGUCC